AUUGAACGCUGGCGGCAGGCCUAACACAUGCAAGUCGAACGGUAACAGGAAGCAGCUUGCUGCUUCGCUGACGAGUGGCGGACGGGUGAGUAAUGUCUGGGAAACUGCCUGAUGAGGGGGAUAACUACUGGAAACGGUAGCUAAUACCGCAUAACGUCGCAAGACCAAAGAGGGGGACCUUCGGGCCUCUUGCCAUCAGAUGUGCCCAGAUGGGAUUAGCUAGUUGGUGGGGUAACGGCUCACCAAGGCGACGAUCCCUAGCUGGUCUGAGAGGAUGACCAGCCACACUGGAACUGAGACACGGUCCAGACUCCUACGGGAGGCAGCAGUGGGGAAUAUUGCACAAUGGGCGCAAGCCUGAUGCAGCCAUGCCGCGUGUAUGAAGAAGGCCUUCGGGUUGUAAAGUACUUUCAGCGGGGAGGAAGGUGUUGUGGUUAAUAACCGCAGCAAUUGACGUUACCCGCAGAAGAAGCACCGGCUAACUCCGUGCCAGCAGCCGC
rnacentral:rRNA from 1 species